rnacentral:rRNA from 1 species
CUUACCAGGUCAAGACAGGGGCGUGAUUGACAGGCUAAUGACUUUUCUCGAUUCCAUGGAUGGUGGUGCAUGGUCGCACUUAGUUGGUGCAGUGAUUUGUCAGGUUUAUUCCGGUAACGAACGAGACCUCGGCCUUGUAAAUAGCUAUGCUGCUUACAGGGACAUUGGCGGCUACGCCAAGGAAGCUCGAGGCAAUUGCAGAUCUGGAAUGCCCUUAGAUGUCCUGGGUCGCACGCGUGCUACAAUGACGCCACGAACGAGCUUGCGUGAUGAAAGUUACGCAUAAUCAGCAGUCGGCGUCUUAAGGGAUAGUCUCUUGUAACUGUGGGACUCCAACUAGGAAUGUCUCGUAAGCACAAGUCAACAUCUUGUGUUGAUUACGUCCCUGCUCUCUGUACACACCGCCCGUCGCUCCUACCGAUCGAGUGUUUAGGUGAAUUUGAUGGACGUAAGGAAGUCAAAUAAACCUGAGCACUAGAGAACGAGAAGUCGAGAACUGU